rnacentral:rRNA from 1 species
GGUUAAGCGACUAAGCGUACACGGUGGAUGCCCUGGCAGUCAGAGGCGAUGAAGGACGUGCUAAUCUGCGAUAAGCGCCGGUAAGGUGAUAUGAACCGUUAUAACCGGCGAUUUCCGAAUGGGGAAACCCAGUGUGACUCGUCACACUAUCAUUAACUGAAUCCAUAGGUUAAUGAGGCGAACCGGGGGAACUGAAACAUCUAAGUACCCCGAGGAAAAGAAAUCAACCGAGAUUCCCCCAGUAGCGGCGAGCGAACGGGGAGGAGCCCAGAGCCUGAAUCAGCAUGUGUGUUAGUGGAAGCGUCUGGAAAGGCGCGCGAUACAGGGUGACAGCCCCGUACACAAAAGCGCAUGUGCUGUGAGCUCGAUGAGUAGGGCGGGACACGUGGUAUCCUGUCUGAAUAUGGGGGGACCAUCCUCCAAGGCUAAAUACUCCUGACUGACCGAUAGUGAACCAGUACCGUGAGGGAAAGGCGAAAAGAACCCCGGCGAGGGGAGUGAAAAAGAACCUGAAACCGUGUACGUACAAGCAGUGGGAGCACCUUCGGGUGUGACUGCGUACCUUUUGUAUAAUGGGUCAGCGACUUAUAUUCUGUAGCAAGGUUAACCGUAUAGGGGAGCCGGAGGGAAACCGAGUCUUAACCGGGCGUUAAGUUGCAGGGUAUAGACCCGAAACCCGGUGAUCUAGCCAUGGGCAGGUUGAAGGUUGGGUAACACUAACUGGAGGACCGAACCGACUAAUGUUGAAAAAUUAGCGGAUGACCUGUGGCUGGGGGUGAAAGGCCAAUCAAACCGGGAGAUAGCUGGUUCUCCCCGAAAGCUAUUUAGGUAGCGCCUCGUGAAUUCAUCUCCGGGGGUAGAGCACUGUUUCGGCUAGGGGGCCAUCCCGGCUUACCAACCCGAUGCAAACUGCGAAUACCGGAGAAUGUUAUCACGGGAGACACACGGCGGGUGCUAACGUCCGUCGUGAAGAGGGAAACAACCCAGACCGCCAGCUAAGGUCCCAAAGUCAUGGUUAAGUGGGAAACGAUGUGGGAAGGCCCAGACAGCCAGGAUGUUGGCUUAGAAGCAGCCAUCAUUUAAAGAAAGCGUAAUAGCUCACUGGUCGAGUCGGCCUGCGCGGAAGAUGUAACGGGGCUAAACCAUGCACCGAAGCUGCGGCAGCGAACGUAUCACUUAAAGCGAUUCAGCGGGUUACGAUUGACGGAGCGAAGCGACGUCAAAGCGUAUACAAAGUCGAGUCGGUUUAAGGAUACGUUCGUUGGGUAGGGGAGCGUUCUGUAAGCCUGUGAAGGUGGCCUGUGAGGGUUGCUGGAGGUAUCAGAAGUGCGAAUGCUGACAUAAGUAACGAUAAAGCGGGUGAAAAGCCCGCUCGCCGGAAGACCAAGGGUUCCUGUCCAACGUUAAUCGGGGCAGGGUGAGUCGACCCCUAAGGCGAGGCCGAAAGGCGUAGUCGAUGGGAAACGGGUUAAUAUUCCCGUACUUGGUGUUACUGCGAAGGGGGGACGGAGAAGGCUAUGUUGGCCGGGCGACGGUUGUCCCGGUUUAAGCGUGUAGGUGUGUGUUCCAGGUAAAUCCGGUUCACUUUAACACUGAGGCGUGAUGACGAGGCACUACGGUGCUGAAGCAACAAAUGCCCUGCUUCCAGGAAAAGCCUCUAAGCAUCAGGUAACAUCAAAUCGUACCCCAAACCGACACAGGUGGUCAGGUAGAGAAUACCAAGGCGCUUGAGAGAACUCGGGUGAAGGAACUAGGCAAAAUGGUGCCGUAACUUCGGGAGAAGGCACGCUGACACGUAGGUGAAGUGAUUUACUCAUGGAGCUGAAGUCAGUCGAAGAUACCAGCUGGCUGCAACUGUUUAUUAAAAACACAGCACUGUGCAAACACGAAAGUGGACGUAUACGGUGUGACGCCUGCCCGGUGCCGGAAGGUUAAUUGAUGGGGUCAGCGCAAGCGAAGCUCCUGAUCGAAGCCCCGGUAAACGGCGGCCGUAACUAUAACGGUCCUAAGGUAGCGAAAUUCCUUGUCGGGUAAGUUCCGACCUGCACGAAUGGCGUAAUGAUGGCCAGGCUGUCUCCACCCGAGACUCAGUGAAAUUGAACUCGCUGUGAAGAUGCAGUGUACCCGCGGCAAGACGGAAAGACCCCGUGAACCUUUACUAUAGCUUGACACUGAACAUUGAGCCUUGAUGUGUAGGAUAGGUGGGAGGCUUUGAAGUGUGGACGCCAGUCUGCAUGGAGCCGACCUUGAAAUACCACCCUUUAAUGUUUGAUGUUCUAACGUGGACCCGUAAUCCGGGUUGCGGACAGUGUCUGGUGGGUAGUUUGACUGGGGCGGUCUCCUCCUAAAGAGUAACGGAGGAGCACGAAGGUUGGCUAAUCCUGGUCGGACAUCAGGAGGUUAGUGCAAUGGCAUAAGCCAGCUUGACUGCGAGCGUGACGGCGCGAGCAGGUGCGAAAGCAGGUCAUAGUGAUCCGGUGGUUCUGAAUGGAAGGGCCAUCGCUCAACGGAUAAAAGGUACUCCGGGGAUAACAGGCUGAUACCGCCCAAGAGUUCAUAUCGACGGCGGUGUUUGGCACCUCGAUGUCGGCUCAUCACAUCCUGGGGCUGAAGUAGGUCCCAAGGGUAUGGCUGUUCGCCAUUUAAAGUGGUACGCGAGCUGGGUUUAGAACGUCGUGAGACAGUUCGGUCCCUAUCUGCCGUGGGCGCUGGAGAACUGAGGGGGGCUGCUCCUAGUACGAGAGGACCGGAGUGGACGCAUCACUGGUGUUCGGGUUGUCAUGCCAAUGGCACUGCCCGGUAGCUAAAUGCGGAAGAGAUAAGUGCUGAAAGCAUCUAAGCACGAAACUUGCCCCGAGAUGAGUUCUCCCUGAGACUUAAAGUCUCCUGAAGGAACGUUGAAGACGACGACGUUGAUAGGCCGGGUGUGUAAGCGCAGCGAUGCGUUGAGCUAACCGGUACUAAUGAACCGUGAGGCUUAACCUU